rnacentral:rRNA from 1 species
UACGGGGGGAGCAAGCGUUGUUCGGAUUUACUGGGCGUAAAGGGCGCGUAGGCGGCCACCGCAAGUCGACUGUGAAAUCUCCGGGCUUAACCCGGAACGGUCAGCCGAUACUGCGGGUCUGGGCCAACUAGGGGCAGCCGGAACAAGCGGUGGAGCGGUGAAAUGCGUAGAUAUCGCUUGGAACGCCGAAGGUGAAAACAGGCUGCUGGGGUUGCGCCGACGCUGAGACACGAAAGCCAGGGGAGCAAACGGGG